rnacentral:rRNA from 1 species
CCUACGGGUGGCAGCAGUGAGGAAUAUUGGUCAAUGGGCGCGAGCCUGAACCAGCCAAGUAGCGUGAAGGAUGACUGCCCUACGGGUUGUAAACUUCUUUUAUAAAGGAAUAAAGUGAGGCACGUGUGCCUUUUUGUAUGUACUUUAUGAAUAAGGUUCGGGUAACUCCUUUCAAGCAGCCGAGGUAAUACGGAGCAUCCGACGGUUAUCCGGAUUUAUUGGGUUUAAAGGGGGCGUAGAUGGGUUGUUAAGUCAGUUGUGAAAGUUUGCGGCUCAACCGUAAAAUUGCAAUUGUUACUGGCAGUCUUGAGUACAGUUGAGGUAGGCGGAAUUCGUGGUGUAGCGGUGAAAUGCUUAGAUAUCACGAAGAACUCCGAUUGCGAAGGCAGCUUACUAAACUGCCACUGACAUUGAUGCUCGAAAGUGUGGGUAUCAAACAGGAUUAGAUACCCGGGUAGUC